rnacentral:rRNA from 1 species
UACGGGAGGCAGCAGUGGGGAAUAUUGGGCAAUGGGGGAAACCCUGAUGCAGCGACGCCGCGUGAGGGAAGAAGGUUUUCGGAUUGUAAACCUCUGUCUUUGGGGACGAUAAUGACGGUACCCAAGGAGGAAGCUCCGGCUAACUACGUGCCAGCAGCCGCGGUAAU